GCCGUUCCCUGUGGAGUCUAGGUGUGUAUAAAGCAGUAAAUCUCUCUGUUUUAUGUUAAUACUGAUAAUGACAGAAGCGGUGUCGUUCCUGUGUAUCUGCAGUCUUCUGAGUGUGUUCUCCGACUGCUUGAAUGCAGAAAUCGCAGCAGGCACAGUCACCUCAAAACAAGACGCCAUGGAUUACAUCACCUGGAUGUCCUUCUUCCUCAGGCUGGUCAUGAACCCCAGGACGAGCACACCAUCGAGCCGCUGAGGUACGACCGGAUCCUACUAUUCCCUGAAACACCAGACCAGCCACAUGAAGCCAGAGCUGCCCGUCCAAGAGCUGCUGGCCAUCCUGUCGGAGGAGGAGCGCCAAAGGUGCGAGGGGCGGAGGUGGCUAUCAAGGCCCAAUCGAGGGGCUUCCAGAGCUAAUGGCUGCCUGUUACGGGAAAAGAGGACAACAGGAUGAUGAAGGAUGUCCUGCAGCCCAAUCAGAUCUCUCAGUUGUACUGAUGAGCGACGGCUACCUCGGCCUGGAUCCACCUGAACCUCAUCCCAGCCAGCAACAGAGAGACUGAAGUGACCUCAUGCUUCGUCAGAACUAAACCAAAGUUUCCCUCUUGGCUUGGAUGUUAAUUUGAUGGCCAAUUCUUCAAUUCUUGUUGUGAGUUCUAGGAAAAACUACACUGAUUUUUAUUUAUUUAUUAUUAUUAUUAUUAUUAUUGGUUCAAUUAAACAUGAUUAGAAGAUCUGGCCCAAAAAAUCUAUUUCCCCACUGAUUUCAUAUCUAAGGAGAGAGAGAUCAGAUUCAAGAGGAACCUUCUAGAUCAGUCUCAUCAGAAAGUCCUGCCUUAUUACCCUUCUAUUACCCUUAUUCACCAUUUUAGGGCAAACGUUAUAUUUGUUAAUUUAAAAUAUAAAAACAAAUAUUGUUUUUGCUUCUGAAUUCUGGAAACGUUCAGUGUGAAAAUAAACUUUGUUAAAAAAAAAUCAAAUAA